UACGUAGGGUGCGAGCGUUGUCCGGAAUUACUGGGCGUAAAGGGCGCGUAGGCGGCCCGCUAAGUCGAACGUGAAAUCCCCGGGCUCAACCCGGGAACUGCGUCCGAUACUGGCAGGCUUGAAUCCGGGAGAGGGAUGCGGAAUUCCAGGUGUAGCGGUGAAAUGCGUAGAUAUCUGGAGGAACACCGGUGGCGAAGGCGGCAUCCUGGACCGGCAUUGACGCUGAGGCGCGAAAGCCAGGGGAGCAAACGGG
rnacentral:rRNA from 1 species